AUGACAAAUUGUGAAACUUACAUUUUAAAAGAACCAAAAAAUCGGGCCAGACCGGACCGAAAACCGGUAAAACCGAAAGUACCGUUUUAGGAGGGUAACUGGUACGUAAUCGAUUUUGAAAAAUACAAAACUGGUACAUACCGAUUCAGUCUUAGAUUUUGUCCAAAACCGGACCGGACCGGUUACACUCCUACUCCUAGAGGGUUGUGAUAAUAAAAAUGGUAAACA